GGGUGUAUGACUCAGUGGUAGAGCAUUCGACUGCAGAUCGGGAGGUCCCCCGUUCAAAUCCGGGUGCCCG
rnacentral:tRNA from 1 species